GGUUGCAACAUCCCCGUGGGUUGGGUGCAGGUUCCGUUGGGCCGGCACAGUGAAUCCACUGCAACU
rnacentral:sRNA from 12 species